UACGUAGGGACCGAGCGUUGUCCGGAUUCAUUGGGCGUAAAGAGCUCGUAGGCGGCUGUUCAAGUCGAACGUGAAAACUCGGAGCUCAACUCCGAGCCUGCGUUCGAUACUGGACGGCUAGAGUCUGGUAGGGGGAUCUGGAAUUCCUGGUGUAGCGGUGGAAUGCGCAGAUAUCAGGAGGAACACCGGUGGCGAAGGCGGGAUCCUGGGCCAGUACUGACGCUGAGGAGCGAAAGCGUGGGGAGCGAACAGG
rnacentral:rRNA from 1 species